UGGUGACCAUGUGUAUGACCCCACUCUAGAAGUAGACCUUUUGAAAGUUGUGGAGAAUUAUUCAGAAGACUCGUACAUUGGAUUAAGGUGGAAAGCAUAGGAUCAAAAUAAUUUACUAAAAAGAAUGGGGCCAUCUUAUCUUUGAUUAAGGAUAAACUUAUUGUACUAAAUUUAAACCAGCGUUGUAUGAUAUUUUAGGAUUCUCUUUAAAAAAGAAAGCAUACUUUACCAUAAACUAUCACUUUGCCAAUAUUAUUCAACGAGUUUCAUAUCCAACACUCAUUCAUCAGCUAGCUAGCUAGCGUGGACUGUCUUCGAUUGCUCUGCGAUCCAAUUGAGUGAAUUAAUUUGCAGCCAAGCAGCAGCUCUCCCGUUUCAGUAUAUAAUUGCUAAUGAUGACGUGGAAUACUAGAGGCUUUUGGAGGGUGAUGUUAAUACAACUCUUAAAAAGCUUUGGGAGGACCAUCAAACUACUGCUACCUCAUCACAACCCAACAUUACAUGAUAUAUUCAGAAUUAUCAGAAUCAGAAACAUCCGACUAGGAAAAAUCUUUCAUGCACUUAAACAUCUCCUUGUAGUGGCAAUGCUCUUUAGCUG